rnacentral:rRNA from 1 species
CCUACGGGAGGCAGCAGUGGGGAAUUUUGGACAAUGGGCGCAAGCCUGAUCCAGCAAUGCCGCGUGAGUGAAGAAGGCCUUCGGGUUGUAAAGCUCUUUUGUCAGGGAAGAAACGGCAGUUUCUAAUACAGAUUGCUAAUGACGGUACCUGAAGAAUAAGCACCGGCUAACUACGUGCCAGCAGCCGCGGUAAUACGUAGGGUGCAAGCGUUAAUCGGAAUUACUGGGCGUAAAGCGUGCGCAGGCGGUUUUGUAAGUUUGUCGUGAAAUCCCCGGGCUCAACCUGGGAAUGGCGAUGAAGACUGCAAGGCUAGAAUCUGGCAGAGGGGGGUAGAAUUCCACGUGUAGCAGUGAAAUGCGUAGAGAUGUGGAGGAACACCGAUGGCGAAGGCAGCCCCCUGGGUCAAGAUUGACGCUCAUGCACGAAAGCGUGGGGAGCAAACAGGAUUAGAUACCCUGGUAGUCCACGCCCUAAACGAUGUCUACUAGUUGUCGGGUUUUAAUUAACUUGGUAACGCAGCUAACGCGUGAAGUAGACCGCCUGGGGAUACGGUCGCAAGNUUAAAACUCAAAGGAAUUGACGGCUGAGACGNGACGAGACGACGACGAGGAGGAGG